GACGAACCGUCCAAACGUUAUUCGGAAUCACUGGGCUUAAAGGGCGCGUAGGCGGGCGAGCAAGUCUAUGGUGAAAUACCCCGGCUUAACCGGGGAACUGCCGUGGAUACUGCUUGUCUCGAGGAGGGUAGGGGCAUCUGGAACAGCCGGUGGAGCGGUGAAAUGCGUUGAUAUCGGCUGGAACUCCGGUGGCGAAGGCGAGAUGCUGGACCCUUUCUGACGCUGAGGCGCGAAAGCCAGGGGAGCGAACGGG
rnacentral:rRNA from 1 species